rnacentral:rRNA from 1 species
GAUGAACGCUGGCGGCGUGCUUAACACAUGCAAGUCGAACGAUGAAGCCCAGCUUGCUGGGUGGAUUAGUGGCGAACGGGUGAGUAACACGUGAGUAACCUGCCCUUGACUCUGGGAUAAGCCCGGGAAACUGGGUCUAAUACCGGAUAGGAGCGCCUGUCGCAUGACGGGUGUUGGAAAGAUUUUUCGGUCAUGGAUGGACUCGCGGCCUAUCAGCUUGUUGGUGAGGUAAUGGCUCACCAAGGCGACGACGGGUAGCCGGCCUGAGAGGGUGACCGGCCACACUGGGACUGAGACACGGCCCAGACUCCUACGGGAGGCAGCAGUGGGGAAUAUUGCACAAUGGGCGGAAGCCUGAUGCAGCGACGCCGCGUGAGGGAUGACGGCCUUCGGGUUGUAAACCUCUUUCAGUAGGGAAGAAGCGAAAGUGACGGUACCUGCAGAGA